rnacentral:rRNA from 21 species
AUCACUCGGCUCGUGGAUCGAUGAAGAACGCAGCAAACUGUGCGUCAUCGUGUGAACUGCAGGACACAUGAACAUCGACAUUUUGAACGCAUAUCGCAGUCCAUGCUG